AUUGAACGCUGGCGGCAGGCCUAACACAUGCAAGUCGAGCGGAUGAAGGGAGAUUGCUCCUGGAUUCAGCGGCGGACGGGUGAGUAAUGCCUAGGAAUCUGCCUGGUAGUGGGGGAUAACGUCCGGAAACGGGCGCUAAUACCGCAUACGUCCUGAGGGAGAAAGUGGGGGAUCUUCGGACCUCACGCUAUCAGAUGAGCCUAGGUCGGAUUAGCUAGUUGGUGGGGUAAAGGCCUACCAAGGCGACGAUCCGUAACUGGUCUGAGAGGAUGAUCAGUCACACUGGAACUGAGACACGGUCCAGACUCCUACGGGAGGCAGCAGUGGGGAAUAUUGGACAAAGGGCGAAAGCCUGAUCCAGCCAUGCCGCGUGAGUGAAGAAGGUCUUCGGAUUGUAAAGCACUUUAAGUUGGGAGGAAGGGCAGUAAGUUAAUACCUUGCUGUUUUGACGUUACCAACAGAAUAAGCACCGGCUAACUUCGUG
rnacentral:rRNA from 1 species